rnacentral:lncRNA from 1 species
AGGAUCCGAGGAAAAGUUGAACUCGCUGAGCAUGUGACCGAAAAACUUGUCAAUAUAGUCUGAAAAAGAUGGUACAUACAUACUGAUGUCAAACACAUAUGCGUCAGUCAGUAAAUGGAGAGACGCUUUAAAAGUAAGAAGGGCAAUGAAGAGACAGAAAAUAAAGAAAGUUCCUGGAUGUAGCUUAAUUGAACUUGAUGGUGUGGUUUCUGAAUUUAAGAAGGGUGACAAAGCGCAUCCAAGAAGUAAAGACAUAUAUGCGAUGGUUGAGCAACUGACACUUCAUUCAAUUGGUACAGAGGCUUUCUCAAACGGAAAUGAGCCCCUCAUAGUUUGAAUGGUGCAAUCAAAUUGGCAGCCUAAUCUGGAAGUACUUCUCAUACGGAAAUGAACCCCUCAUAGUUUGAAUGGUGCAAUGAAAUCGACAGCCUAAUCUGGAAAUGAAUUUGUCAAGUUGACCUCAGAUAUCAUUUCUCGACUUAAAUGGCAUGAAUUAUUUAGAAGCUCUGCCUUUUUUCCUGAUAAGGUUUAGAACAAUUUCUUUGUACAUUUUGCACCAAACAUUUUAGUAUAGUGAAGUAUAUUACACAUGGAUCGUGCACAACUCGUUACAAGAAACUUUAAGACAUCAUUCGUCUGAUUAUUGUUGGAAUGCACUUUUGCACACCAAACAUUACAUAUAUAAGUAAAAGAAAUAGUAUGUGAUAUGCAGCUUGCUUUAGAUUUUGAAGAUGAAUUAGUUGAGCAGCUGAUCCAAUCAAUUGCUACUUACCUUUCUAAGCAUUAUGGUUUGAUAUCCAAAAUUGAGGUACUAGAUCUUACAUGGCUGAGAAGUCGACGAACCGGGAUAACUCUAGGAACAAAAGUUCAAGUUUCAGUAGGAGGUAAUACUAAGGAAAUUCUUCCCAUUUACCUGAGCUUUGGAGGGCAACAUUACCGAGUAUUUUUGAUGUUGGAAACUAACAGGUAUGUGGUGGAUUAAUGGAGGUGUACGUAAACUGGAUUGGCUUGCCUUUUGCAAGCUAAGUGUGUGAAUAAACUUAGAGAAGGUGAUGAUAAUGUUUAUCAGCGCAAACUGUGGAGGUUAAUUUGGUUGCUGUGGCUAGGAGCCAAACAAAGAUUUCUACAUAUUUCCUGCACACAGAAUUCUUGUGAAACAAAGACAAGAAUAUUAAAUCCUAAUUAGUGUGUGACUAG